rnacentral:lncRNA from 1 species
UUUCAACUUAAUUGUUAAGAAGUAUGUAAUUUUUGAAUCAAGAUUGACAAUUCAUUCAUUAGUUAUUGAAGUUUAAAUCUGUUGUAGGAAUUACUAGGAUUUGGUUAAGAUUUUAUUUAGCAUUUGAUUUAGGAUUUAGGAUUAGAUUAGGAUUUGGUUAGGAUUUGAUUUAGGAUUUAGGUUUGCUUAGGGUUUGAUUUAGGAUUUAGAAUUUGGCUAGGAUUCAGUUAGGAUUUGAUUUAAGAUUUAGAAUUUGAUCAGGAUUUAAUUUAAAAUUUAGGAUUUGAUUAGAGUUUGAUUUAAGAUUUAAGAUUUGAUUAGGAUUUGAUUUAGGAUUUAAGAUUUAGUUAGGAUUUGAUUUAGGAUUUAGGAUUUGAUUGGAAUUUUAUUUAGGAUUCAAGAUUUGAUUAGGAUUUGAUUUAAGAUUUAAGAUUUGAUUAGAGUUUGAUUUAGGAUUAGGAUUUAGGAUUUAGUUAGGGCUUGGUAUAGGAUUUAGGAUUUGGUUAGGAUUUGGUUUAGGAUUAAGGAUUGUAUUAGAAUUUUUUUAGGAUUUAAAAUUCAAUUAAUUUUUGGCUUAAAGUUUGAGUGAAGUCCAAUAAGAUUUUAACUAGGAUUAAAUUAAGAUUGAAUUGAGAUGUAUUUGAGAUAUAUUUGUGAUCAUUCUAAUAUUUCUUUAAGAUUUUUUAUUGUUUCUUUUUAAUUCUUUUGAGGUUUCUUUUAAUUUGAUUAAAGCUUGCUUAGCAUUGUUAUGGUCUAAUUAAAAUUUAAUUAAUAUUCUAUUAGAGUUAAGAUUUUAUUGUUGUAAUUUCCAUUCUACCUUCCACAACUAGGUGCUCAGAGCAUUCUCAAGCAAGACUUCAUGUAUUAUGUCAACGUAACCUUUAUUCUUAACUAUUAUAGUAGGUAAUUCUUUAACUAUCUUAUUGCAAAAAAAUAAGAAAAAAAAAAAAAAGCUUGAGCUCUUUUCCAUCUCGAUACGGAAUUUUUUUUGACAAUUAAGAUUACUUAAGGUCACUCUUACAUAAUAGUAGUUUUUUAUAGCAAUUAAAAUUAGAAAUAGUCUUGCUUGAGAUGAUAUUUAACCAAGCAUUCUUCCUUAAGUCAUUUUUGUUUUAUUUUCCUUCCUUGUUAAAAGGUAUUUAAGUGGGUUAUAGGUUGAAGAGUAAAACAUUUAAAUUAUUGAGAAAUUGGAUGGAUUAAAAAUUAUACUAAGUUGGACUGAAUGUCUCUUGUCAUGUGGAUGCAAUGUUCCACUAGAUUAAAG